UACGUAGGGUGCAAGCGUUGUCCGGAAUUAUUGGGCGUAAAGAGCUCGUAGGCGGUCUGUCGCGUCGGCUGUGAAAACCCGAGGCUCAACCUCGGGCCUGCAGUCGAUACGGGCAAACUUGAGUGUUGCAGGGGAGACUGGAAUUCCUGGUGUAGCGGUGAAAUGCGCAGAUAUCAGGAGGAACACCGGUGGCGAAGGCGGGUCUCUGGGCAACAACUGACGCUGAGGAGCGAAAGCGUGGGGAGCGAACAGG
rnacentral:rRNA from 1 species